UCUCAUACGAGGGAAACGAUUAAAAGGGAAUCAGGUGUAAAUCCUGGACAGUCCCGCUGCUGUAAGUUCCAUAUAUUAUGUUGUGAGCAACCGAACUCAUGAGCCACUGGAUAAGUUUUCCGGGAAGGCGUUCACAACAGGAAUAAGUCAGAAGACCUGCCAUGUAACCUA
rnacentral:ncRNA from 1 species